rfam:Myotis brandtii contig240180, whole genome shotgun sequence.
ACCAGUUUGGCUCAGUGGGCAGAGCAUCAGCCUGCAGGCUGAAGGGUCCUGGUUCAAUUCCAGUCAAGGGCA